GACGAACGCUGGCGGCGUGCUUAACACAUGCAAGUCGAACGGUAAGGCCCUUCGGGGUACACGAGUGGCGAACGGGUGAGUAACACGUGGGUGAUCUGCCCUGCACUUCGGGAUAAGCCUGGGAACUGGGUCUAAUACCGGAUAGGACCAUGCGCUUCCCGGUGUGUGGUGGAAAGCUUUUGCGGUGUGGGAUGGGCCCGCGGCCUAUCAGCUUGUUGGUUGGGUAAUGGCCUACCAGGGCGACGACGGGUAGCCGGCCUGAGAGGGUGACCGGCCACACUGGGACUGAGAUACGGCCCAGACUCCUACGGGAGGCAGCAGUGGGGAAUAUUGCACAAUGGGCGCAAGCCUGAUGCAGCGACGCCGCGUGAGGGAUGACGGCCUUCGGGUUGUAAACCUCUUUCAGCACCGACGAAGCGCAAGUGACGGUAGGUGCAGAAGAAGGACCGGCCAACUACGUGCCAGCAGCCGCCGUAA
rnacentral:rRNA from 1 species